rnacentral:rRNA from 1 species
CACAUUUAAUUGAGCCCGUCAAAUUAAGUGCCAGCCGACGCGGUUAAACUUAAGGGCUGGUCUUUAUAAGUAAAAAGGCGUAAAGGAUGUGUAGGCUAAGAAACGAUCCAAGUAGGUAAAUGGAAUUUUUCUGGAGCGGUAGAAUGUGAGGAUAGAAAAUAGAACCCCUAAGGUAAAAACUAUUUACUACAAGGUAGGCUGAAACAUGAGAGUGUGGGGAGCAAACAGGAUUAGAGACCCUGGUAGUCCACACUGUGAACUUUGAAGAUGAUGCUUAGCAGACCCGAAAGGUAAAAUCUUCCGCCUGAGUAGUACGAUCGCAAGAUUAAAAUUCAAAAACUUUGGCUGUUCACUAUUUCGAUUAGAGGAGCGUGUAGUUUAAUUCGAUGGUCCGCGUGUUACCUUACCCCAACUUGAAUCUAUGACCGGUAUUGCAUGGCCGUCGUAAGUUCGUGUAUUAAGCUAGAAGGGACCCAACCCGGGCAUUUGCCCGGAGGAAGUCAGGUCUUAUGAUCCGAAUGUUGGGGGAUUUUAUGCGCUACAUUUUCUUAUAUAAUGAGAAACCUGGAAGG